UGGGGAAUAUUGGACAAUGGGGGCAACCCUGAUCCAGCAAUGCCGCGUGUGUGAAGAAGGCCUUCGGGUUGUAAAGCACUUUUAUCGGGAACGAAACAUUGUCGGCCAAUACCCGGCAAGACUGACGGUACCCGAGGAAUAAGCACCGGCUAACUCCGUGCCAGCAGCCGCGGUAAUACGGAGGGUGCAAGCGUUAAUCGGAAUUACUGGGCGUAAAGCGUGCGCAGGCGGUUUGUUAAGUCUGUCGUGAAAUCCCCGAGCUCAACUUGGGAAUUGCGAUGGAUACUGGCAAGCUGGAGUACGGUAGAGGAAGGUGGAAUUCCCGGUGUAGCAGUGAAAUGCGUAGAGAUCGGGAGGAACACCAGUGGCGAAGGCGGCCUUCUGGACCAGUACUGACGCUCAUGCACGAAAGCGUGGGGAGCAAACA
rnacentral:rRNA from 1 species